GUUGUGGAACAUGGGGUUCGUGGCUGCCAAUCUAAUGAAGGAAAGCUCAUGAAAUUGGUGGAUCAUCGGCUAAUUUGCCUACUGUUGGAGUAGUUCAGAGCGAACUACCUGCUGGUGCUGGAUCCAUUGUCGACCUAAGGAAAGAGAAGGCGUAUGUUUUAGACAGUCGGAAUGAGACCCAAAUACAUUACCGAGAUGAAAAAUACUUGUCUACGGUCAACGAUGUGGUGAAAAUAAUUGCUUUUGUUUGUUUUGCGACUUUGUUUUCAAUGUGGUAUAUUGUUUAAUGUUUAUGUCCUUUUGUAAUGCUUAUUAAUUACACAUAAACAAAUGCUUGGAGACUACAUGGGACAUUUAGGUCAUGUGCACAAGAGCAACAUUGUGAAACGAGCAAAAAUGUUGAUACCACAUAUCAAAUGGGGGGGAUUCAAAGAACAUAAAUGACUCUGGCGUAUACAUGAUGCGACACAUGGAGGCUUUUAUGGGUGAGACUCCAUCUUUAUGGAGUUAUGGAUUAGCGCCGAAGCUAAAGAAGCAACUAAAUCUCUUACGUGCGAGGUACUGUGCAAUGCUUCUUGGGUGGGAGAAAAUUAUUGCCAGAGAUGCGGUUGCGGUCGGAGCUAAUGUGUACUAUGACGAGGUCUUCAACAACCCCACUGUAGACAUUGAUGCUACUUUUCUAGGAUGAUGAAUUCAACUAAUAUAUGGAUCUUGGAAUGAUGACGCAUAUCUACUUGCAGAGUUAGACUUUGUUUUUCUUUGUUGGUGAGUUGGUUCAUAUUUGGAUCAUUUUGUUAUUUUUGGUUUCUGGAUAUUUGUUGGAAGUUUUGUUAAUUAUGUUGCAUAACUGAUUUGGUUUCCUGCUGAAUAAGCGUGGUUUUGUUUAA